rnacentral:rRNA from 1 species
GAUGAACGCUGGCGGCGUGCCUAAUACAUGCCAGUCGAGCGAACAGACGAGGAGCUUGCUCCUCUGACGUUAGCGGCGGACGGGUGAGUAACACGUGGAUAACCUACCUAUAAGACUGGGAUAACUUCGGGAAACCGGAGCUAAUACCGGAUAAUAUAUUGAACCGCAUGGUUCAAUAGUGAAAGACGGUUUUGCUGUCACUUAUAGAUGGAUCCGCGUCGCAUUAGCUAGUUGGUAAGGUAACGGCUUACCAAGGCAACGAUGCGUAGCCGACCUGAGAGGGUGAUCGGCCACACUGGAACUGAGACACGGUCCAGACUCCUACGGGAGGCAGCAGUAGGGAAUCUUCCGCAAUGGGCGAAAGCCUGACGGAGCAACGCCGCGUGAGUGAUGAAGGUCUUCGGAUCGUAAAACUCUGUUAUUAGGGAAGAACAAAUGUGUAAGUAACUAUGCACGUCUUGACGGUACCUAAUCAGAGAGCCACGGCUAACUACGU